rnacentral:rRNA from 1 species
GUUCAACGGCCGCGGUAUCCUAACCGUGCGAAGGUAGCGUAAUCACUUGUUCUUUAAAUGAGGACUAGUAUGAAUGGCACCACGAGGGUUACACUGUCUCCUUUUUUUAAUCAGUGAAACUAAUCUUCCCGUGAAGAAGCGGGAAUUUUUCUAUAAGACGAGAAGACCCUAUGGAGCUUUAAACAAAUUAACAUUUGCUGCCUAAAACAACUCUUCCAGAAACACAACACACAGCAUAGCAUCAUGAUUAAUAGUUUUAGAUUGGGGUGAUCACGGAGUAAAAAACAACCUCCAUGCCGAAAAGGGCCUUCCUGAGCAAAAAACCACAACUUUAAGCACUAAAAAAAUUAACGUUUAUUGACCCAAUAUUUUGAUCAACGAACCAAGUUACCCUAGGGAUAACAGCGCAAUCCACUUCAAGAGCUCCUAUCGACAAGUGGGUUUACGACCUCGAUGUUGGAUCAGGGUAUCCCAGUGGUGCAGCCGCUACUAACGGUUCGUUUGUUCAACGAUUAAAACCC